CCUACGGGAGGCAGCAGUGAGGAAUAUUGGUCAAUGGACGCGAGCCUGAACCAGCCAAGUAGCGUGAAGGAUGACUGCCCUACGGGUUGUAAACUUCUUUUAUAAAGGAAUAAAGUGAGGUACGCGUGUCUUUUUGUAUGUACUUUAUGAAUAAGGAUCGGCUAACUCCGUGCCAGCAGCCGCGGUAAUACGGAGGAUCCGAGCGUUAUCCGGAUUUAUUGGGUUUAAAGGGAGCGUAGAUGGGUUGUUAAGUUAGUUGUGAAAGUUUGCGGCUCAACCGUAAAAUUGCAAUUGAUACUGGCAGGCUAGAGUACAGUUGAGGUAGGCGGAAUGCGUGGUGUAGCGGUGAAAUGCUUAGAGAUCACGAAGAACUCCGAUUGCGAAGGCAGCUUACUAAGCUGCCACUGACAUUGAUGCUCGAAAGUGUGGGUAUCAAACAGGAUUAGAUACCCCAGUAGUC
rnacentral:rRNA from 1 species